CUUAUUACCAAAAUUGUGUAUGGUUUGGUAUUUACUCGCCUAUACCAUGUUUUGUUUACAAACAUUGUACCAAACCAAAAAUAGAUAGAUUCUACUCUAAAAAGGCUCCAAAUUUGUAGGAAUCACAUUUGGAUUGGGUGUUGUUGUAAAUAAUUCGAAAUAUGUUUAGGAGUUUAUAUCUCUGGAAAUUUAGGGGUUUUGGUGAAGAU
rnacentral:lncRNA from 1 species